AACGAACGCUGGCGGCAUGCCUAACACAUGCAAGUCGAACGAGACCUUCGGGUCUAGUUGCGCACGGGUGCGUAACACGUGGGAAUCUGCCCUUUGCUUCGGAAUAACAGUUAGAAAUGACUGCUAAUACCGGAUGAUGUCGAAAGACCAAAGAUUUAUCGGCAAAGGAUGAGCCCGCGUAGGAUUAGGUAGUUGGUGGGGUAAAGGCCUACCAAUCCGACGAUCCUUAGCUGGUCUGAGAGGAUGAUCAGCCACACUGGGACUGAGACACGGCCCAGACUCCGACGGGAGGCAGCAGUGGGGAAUAUUGGACGAUGGGCGAAAGCCUGAUCCAGCAAUGCCGCGUGAGUGAUGAAGGCCUUAGGGUUGUAAAGCUCUUUUACCAGGGAUGAUAAUGACAGUACCUGGAGAAUAAGCACCGGCUAACUCCGUG
rnacentral:rRNA from 1 species